rnacentral:tRNA from 1 species
GGCCGCUUGGCGCAAUGGUAGCGCGUCUGACUACGACUUGGUGCUGGAGCUCAUGUGAGCUCGAGACAGAACAUCGUCAUCAGGAGGUCGCAGGUUCGACCCCUGCAGUGGUCA